ACAGACUCACUUUGCACCUGGCUGCAGCCUCAUGGGCGUGCUUUUUCCAUGUGCCAGGGAAACAUUCUGGGGCGUUGUGGCUGCCUAACCUAUCAAGGGUGAUGGUUCAGGGUAGUGGCU
rnacentral:snoRNA from 1 species